rnacentral:piRNA from 1 species
UGGGAGGUCUAGGACUUGCCUAAGGUCACA